UUCAAUCUUUGCUGUACUUUGGGCUCACUUGGAGAACUUCAUAAACAUUUUUUAUGAAUCUUCCAGAGGUUCUGCUUUAGUUAAUCUGGUAUAUGGCCUGGGAUUCAGCAUAUUUCAGUGUUUUCCAGGGGUUGUCAUUUGAAUGCCACUCCCCAAAAUAAAUUCAUGCUUUGGGAUUUGAUCAUAGUUAGAAGGUAUUAACAGGAGACUUACUUUGAUUUGGUGUUGAAAGACGAGGUUUUUUGGAAAAUGAUUGGACAUCAGGGUGGGACCCCCAUGGUGAAGUUCUGGUGAGUUUAUGAGAGGGAAUGAGACAGACACAAAUACAGAUAUCUGUACACCUGUCCUCCACCAUGCCGUAAUACAGCCGGAAGACUUUCAUCAUGUGUAGCCCCUGGAUCUUGAACCUCCAAAUGAUCUCCAUGGCAGAGCAAAACCCAUCAGGAUGAAAGCCAUGCCUGUCUUGCUUGCUGUUUUAUUCUUGGUCCCAGAAGGGUACCUGGCACACAAAAUAUGUGGCGCGCCCCCGCCCAUCGAGUGGCCCAAGAUGGCGCUGAGAGGAAGUGCCUUGAGAGCACAUGAGGCAAACAACUUUGAGGAAGUACAUUACCCGGAAGGCGUGAUCACAACCACCCACCAAUCCCUCCGCGCCCCUCCGUGCGUGGACAGUGCAUGCGACCUAUCAGGACUAGUUCCGCAUACGUGAACAGUGCCCUGAUUGGUGGGGACUCCUAUUUAAGGGGACCGGGAUGGGAAGAAGGGCGGAAGCAGCUGUACAAUAAAGUCCUGAUGAGAAGACUGUCUCCUGGUCGUUCCUGA